rnacentral:rRNA from 1 species
GCCAGGGUGAGGGCGUGGUCGUCGGCGUGCUUGGGAUCGGCGAUAAGGGGAGCUAGGGGUAUCGGAGAGGACGGAGUACCUAGGAGCGGCGGCGGACGAUGAGGAUGAGGUGGUGACGACGACGAAGAGGUGGUGCGACGGGAAGGUGGAGCGCAAGGAAGAUAGGCAACAUAUACAACGGCAGCCGCCGCGGACCAAGGUCUAGCCCGCGUCCAAUCGUCUCAGGCCACAACUCCACUUCCUCGUACCCUCUCCCCCGCUACUCCUGUUCGUUGAAAGCCGGCAACGGUACCGACUCCGAUGUCCUUUCUCCAUCCUUCGGCCUCCCACUUCCUCGUCCGGCCGGGAGUACCUCUGCGGCGGCGGUCGGCACCCGGUAAGCGGCAGUGACCGGAGUGCGGAGCAGAGGAGAGAGAAGUGGUGGUGUAGGUACAACAAAAAACCUCUUACCACGAGGCUAGACCAGGGAUACCAUUAUAGAAGGGAAUAAGAGGGAGGAAACUAAAGAUUAUUUGAAUGAAACUGCACAACAGAACUGUAUUUAACACUGCAGAUAACAAUAUGGUACCGUACACAUCACGAUUACCAAAGGACGAUCCGUUGAAGUCCGGACGUUGUAAAUGUCCCCUCCUAACGUCCACAGCUAUGCUACCUCGUUAAAGACCAAAACACCAACCUCGUAUCGGAGUAAAAGCGUUCUCAAACCCAAAGAGUUCUUGUUACCCUACAAUUAGAAGGUACGCGUCGCCGCCACGUAGUUCCACGUUCCGUCGACGCUGUACAAGUAUCAUGCGAUUUCCUACUCGAGGAUGAAAACGACUACGAUCGAGGAACGACGUCUCAGUAACACCACGGACAACCCGGAAACCACAACACCUCACAGACGCUCUAGCAAAGACGUAAGGAGUACAGUACCACUCACGUAUACCUGCUAGACAGAUGAUAGACCAGAUAAAAAUUUAUCCGUACAGCCAGAAAAGAAUGUAUUCGUCGGACGACAAAGAUAAGGAGUGUCUUGUAAAGUCAAAGACAGUUAAGUGUAAAUAGAGGUACAAUAGAACCACAUUCCAUCGAAACUACUACACAACUCCGCCAGACGAGUCACAUUCUUGUUUAUCAACCGGUGAGGGUAAAAAUAGAGUAAAGCAUUAGUAGCGUUCGAUACGGAUACAGUUAUAGAUUUUCAAAAACGAUAAACAAAGAGGAGGAAAUUAGUUAUAAACAUCCUAACAAUCAUUCCAACGAGUAGCAGUUCCUUUCACGAAACACCUAUGAACGUACUGAUUCCUUCUUUAAACAAUAAACUUCAUACGUGAUCUCUAUAACGUUCCAUAAAGACAAUGGUCUGCUUCUUUAAACAAUAAACUUCAUACGUAAUCUCUAUAACGUUCCAUAAAGACAAUGGUCUAAGUAUAGAAAAAAACCCUGGAUACAUGUCUACUACUAAGCAUCGACGUCAAUAAAAACAGGAUUUCUAUGUUCGUUUAACUUCUAAUCUGAAGACAUACCUUUAAAUUUAUCACCAAGGGACCUUUCGUUAAAUUAAAGAACGUAACUAAAGAGACUAUAUUGGUGCGGAAAGGAUAAAACAAUUUCUUCAUUUGAUUAAGGAUUUGAAUGUGGUGGUCAGUCGUAUCGUAAGUUCGUACGGUGAUCCGGUCCCGUAAGAUCGUUUGGAGCGAGGGUGAUAUCCAAUCAAGAAUCGAUACGAACGCUGAUAAGAUUAGCUGGCCUGUUUUUUGAUACCCUCCUUAGUUUCCGUACGUAGACUGGAGCCCAUGUACGUGGUUAACUUUAUUCUCCACUAUUACAAUAGUAUAUCGAUAUAAGCUAAGUACUCAUUGAAUUGUUGGUUGGACCUGCCGUUUUCAAAUGAAGUGAACCAUUGUACUCCACCUGUGGCUUUCGAACGAUAGAUUAAAAGAAGAGACAUCUCCUUUUGUUCAUAUGGCUAUCAACCUGUGACUUUCAAAAGAUUUUAAUAAAAAUCUCAACAUAUCACAUAUGUAAAUAUUGCAUCUAGGAAUGAGUACAAUGUGGAAAGAACAAGAAUACCGCUUUUGUAAUCGUAUAAUUGGUAAAGAUAUAAAAAGACAAUAAAAGAAAAUUAUGUCAUCACAGGUACGAAUAUCUAAAGAUAAAUCACAGUUAGAUCGUAUGAGUACAGUGAGGGCAGGGUAAAAUCGAGACAACUACCUACUAAAGACGGUAAAUAAAAAUAAGGGUAAAAUAUAUAAGACUAAUAACGAAGUAAUAAAUAGUUGACUACUCCGUACUGAAAACACACGUGAAGAAUGACUACUACUAGGACUACAAUAAACAAACUCUUUUCUGACUCUGCCGAACUUCACGUAUAAAUAGGAAUAAAACAAGUUAAUAUUACCCUACUUCAUUGAAUUAACUGGCUAUCACAACAAUCAUCACUAUCUGUUAUCCGUUAAAUGAUCUCGUCAAGACACCCAUAAUCCGUAUCAGAAGAGACAGAGAUUUUGGUCGAAGCGUACGUUCUAGAAUAGGAUACGGUUCAAUAAGACACCCAUAUAAAAACUUUAUAAAUAGAAACAACAAGGCGAAUCGAUGUGGGAGGAAUUCAUAAAAAAAAUGUCUUAGAUCUUUUUGUUUCACGAAACGAAGAAAGGAACGGACCAAGUUCCAAGGCUCUGGUGUACGUCACACGCAACCUGUUACAACGACUCCCAGGUCAAAGAGUAAAAAAUCUAAAACAUCAUCGUCUAUACACAUAUUAUAUCUAUUGAUUUGACCACAAAUCCGCAAAAUCACGUCCUGACGAUGAACGAGCUAAUCAAUCUACUUGACCACAAAUCUCUAAAAUCAUACCUCACUACAAAACCAGAACUAACAUCCCGAAGCUCUACGUGGUACUCCCGACUUUGCUCCGAAUAUGGUCCGAUGUUUUAAUAGUACGAAAACCCUAAAAGGACUUAAAUCAAUCGUAUUUAUGCAGGUCUUAGAGAGUACGUUAUACAUUCAGACAGCCAUUGUUGUGACUAAAAAGCUCAAACAAGACGGUUUGUUUCACACCUUGUAUGAAGUAAAAACGUCAAUUUUCUUCCUUUUCUCUUGUAACCCCCUUUUCCGUCGACUCGCCUAAGAGAUUCGAAAGAGUUUACAAACUUCCUUUUCUAUCAAUGUUAGUAAUAAGAGAGCGGAAUGAUGUAGAACUACAAUUAUCCGAAACCUUCCAUGAUACGUGGGCAAGUUCCAAAUAUCUUAAACAUGGUAGGAUAAUUUCAAAUAAGACUACUUUCUUAACUGGCCAAGAAGGAACACAUUUAAUUAUAACGUCGACGAUGAGGAAACACGUAACCAUGUAUCAAUAUCAAAACUUCCACACAUGCGUAGUUGUAUAUGAAGGGUGGUAGGAUAAUAUCAAACAAGACUACUGUUUUAACUCGUGGGGAAUGAACUCAUUUAACACGUUGAGAAGGAACUCAUUUAAUCAUAACGUCAAUGACUCGGAAACACGUAAUGCUAUGUCAAGAUGACUUCGAUCAUAACAUGAUGAAUACGGGUAAAAUUUGGGUCUGGACUAAAAUGUAGUAAAAACAGGAGUAGGCAAGAGGAAUUAAAAUCAGGUAAAGUCGUUACGAUACUAGACGGUGAGAUAUACUUUUUGCUGACUUUAAAACGAAAACACUAAAUCAGUUAGUAGACACAAAACUAAGGAUAACUAGAGAGGAAACCGUUGACUACGGUGGGCCUCCCGACGGUCGGGUUCCAUUCUAGCCAUGAUAGGAAGUUAUUUUUUUGUCACGUACGUCUCUUUAGGCUUUAGGCUUUAUCAUCCUUUCCUCUUUAGAGUGGUCAACUCAUGCACAGAAACCUUUACGAAGAGAACGAAUUUACUCCUUGGCUCCUUCUUUUCCCCUAUUUGUUCGUGCUAUCUACAUCAGGGGUGGCGAAGUAUAAGAUGAGGUCUGCUCGGUGUGUGUGUCUUAACAGGCACCUGAGUCGAUCCAUCGUAUACCCGGAAAGUUUAUGGAUACGGAGGUAUACGUGUUGUGCCUCUACCAAGAAAACGCACGUGUACCUUUUAUUUUCAAGUCAUGUUAGUGUUGAUUUUUUUAUGCAGGAAUUGACCAGAUAUGUAAAAUAGGUUUGUACAGGAAUAAAAAAGUUUGAGCCUAAAGAGUACUACUAUUGGUAUAAAAGUUGAUUUUUUUACUAAGGAAUUGACAACAUAUGUAUAAUAUGUUCAUACUAAAAAAAGUUUGAGUUUAAAGAGUUGUACUAUUUGUAUAAAAGUUAUAUCGUAUUAAAUUAUGUACCCAAAAGAUAAUGGUUAUAGCUUAUACAGGAACGUUUUACUUUGAUAAAAGUAGCUGUUGUACCGAAAUCGCCCAGAGACGCGGUAAACCGCGUUGCCCAGUUGAUUAACAGUAUUUCUUAUACUUCAUAGACAGAAAGACCCGAGGAGCGUCCAUUUCUCGUAAAGCUCUGCAGACAGGGCUCCACCGCACGGCACCCCCGGAGAGCCCCUACGAAGCUCGGUAGUCUGGGACGACCCGCCAGCCCCCCUGGCGUCCCGCGCGGAUCCUGGUGGCAGUAACCUGCCGGAAGCAGCGUGUUGAUGGGCGAGCGUUUCCGUAUCGGUCCGAGCGGACAGUCGUAGGUGGUAGUCGCUAGGCCCGACCAGGUUAGUACUGUCCGUCCCACACGCAGUGCGGGCGGACGUGGCCGAGUGACACUCCCAGAGAGGCCCGCGAAGCUCAGGAGGCUAGACGGGUCUGCCACACCUGGGUCUGUUGGGCCGACCCACCAGGUACUACCCACACUUCCUUUAUACGGAAUCUCCGUUAUUAUUUCAAUAAUAAAUAAAAGAAUAAAGUACUAUUUACAAAUAAUAAG